AAUUCUGAAUGUCGAGAGCCGCAGAGCAAGGUGAUGAAGAAACUUCUUCACUGACAAAAGCAAAUCUGUUACUGAGUUGACCAGGAAGUCUUAUGAUUAAAAGAGAACGCCACGGUCCAGGGAGUGACGCGGGUCUUAGAGGUGGAGCAGAAGUGACGGCGGUGAGAUACCACUAGAGGAAGGCGCACCGGCAACCAAGAGCUAAUUCCCAGCACGGCCAGCAGGAGGUGCCAAGGUGGUGAGUCCCGCCCUGUCACAAGGGUUACUGAUCCAGGAGAGGACCUUCCCUCUUAUUCCAGGACUGCUUAGUUUGGUGAGGGACCUUGUCAAAGGCUUUCUGAAAGUCCACGUACACUAUAACCACUGGAUCAUCCUUGUCCACAUGGUUGUUGACCCCCUUAAAGAAUUCUAAUAGAUUGGUGAGGCAUGAUUUCUCUUUACAAAAGCUAUGUUGACUCUUCCCCAACGAAUGGUGUUCAUCUAUGUGUCUGAUAAUUCUGUUCUGUAUUAUAGUUUUAACCAAUUUUCCUGAUACUGAAGUUAGGCUUACUGGCCUGUGAUUGCCAGGAUUGCCUCUGGAGCCUUUUUAAAAAAAUCAGCGUUAAAUUAGCUAUCCUCCAGUCAUCUGGUACUGAAGCUGAUUUAAGUGAUACAUAGCAUAGUUAGUAGUUCUGCAAUUUCAUAUUUGAGAUUUUUCAGAAUUCUUGCGUGAAUACCAUUUGGUUUUGGGGACUUACUCUGUUUAAUUUAGCAAUUUAUUUCAAAAUCUCCUCUAUUGACACUUCAGUCGAGGACAAUUUCUCAGGUUUGAUUGAUUGGCAGCUCUUGUUUCCGAGCACUAUGUCAAUACCCUCAAAAAUGUUGUACAGUUGUGCAGUAUCUUUAAAGCAUUUAAUGUUUGUUUCACUACUGUAGCUGAAAUGAUGGUGUUAACCCAGUACAGGGAAUUACUAAAAGGAGAUAAGGAUUUAACCACAACGCCCCCCUCCACACACAUACACACUACAGAUCCAUUCGCCCUCCCGUAUCUGUCACCAGGGGUGAUCAACACUUCAAGAAUACUAAGAAGGUAGGUAUAAAGUACAAACAGGUAUUUAUUAAACAGAACCCCACAACCAACAACAAACAAGUAUAAACAUAUAACAAAAGCACUCAGCUGUUAACCCCACAGAUUGGCUUGAAGCCAACGAUCUCAAAAUAACACAGGUAGGUAUAAAAAUAAAUCAGGACGAUCAAUACAUCACCAUAUCUGAUGCUCCUACGGAACAAGGACUACACACAGGUUUGGGAGCACGACAAAACCACAGGGAACGCCAGGAGACAGGUACACAGGAACAACGCAUGAGACCAGGAACGACAACACGACGGGAUCAGGAACAAUGGGUAAACAGAUCUUCUUUUAUUGACUCAUAGUCUUCUAGGACAUAAUAGGCACUGGGCUGCCACUGGGGCGGACAGCCCUGUGCGCACAAUCCUUAUAUAGAGUCUUAUC